GUAAGAGCUCCUUAUUGCUUUAAAGUUUCAUGCGAGCAGGUGCAAGAAGUAAAUAAAUAUCCUCUUUUGGUGAUUUAUUUGCAUUUUUAUAUCUUAAAGGGUCAGAAGAAAUCAAUAGUUCUCCUUGCACUCUGUGAAAUUAAUCAGUAACUUUGGAGACACUCUGUGUUUAAGAAAACAAACUGAACAAACAGCACAUGGCCUUUAAAGAUGUCCUCCGGUGGUGUUCCUGGUGGAUUUGGGACAAUAAAAGGCUGAGUAUUUCCCAGUACAGCACCUACAAGAAAACCUAAGUGAGAGCACAGGACAAAGCCCUGUCUGGCGGUGCCCACCCCAGGUGAUUCAGGAAGCAAGUGUUAUUGCAGCCAUAAGAAACCUGAUAGCGCUGUGCCUAUCAGCCAUCUGCAGGGGAAAAGGUCAGGGGCAUGGAUGUUGCCACUCACCUGGAGCACUUCUGUACCACUCCUCCAGCAGCUGCCGGUGGCACUGCUCAAAAUCACGGCUCUGAGCAAUGCCAAUAGGAGCAGGGUGUGUGCUUCAGGGUGGCCUGGGACUUCUGUAAGCAGCAACUCGAGCAAAUCUAGGUGGAGUGCAAGCAGGACAACUUCAUUUAAAAUGGCUGUGUGUGAUGACUUCAGUCCCAUAGCAUGCAGUCUCUAAUCGGCGUGGCAGUUCUUGGUGCAUCACCAGCUCCAUGUUGCAUUCCAUGUUGGUUUCAGCCCUGCCCAAUGCAGGGCAGCUCGGGCUGCUCAGAGCCCCAUCCAACCUGGCCUGGAGCGUCUGCAGGGAUGGAGCACCACAGCUUCUAUGUGCAUCUGUACCACUGCUUCACUGCCCUCUGAGUAAAGAAUUUACUCUUAACACCUAACUUAAAUCUCCCUUCUUUUAGUUUAAAGCCAUUCCCCCUCAUCCUAUCAAAUGAACCUAGUCUGGGAAUUUCCAUGUUAAAGCACUACCACUCCAGUGGGGCUCCCCCUGAUAAAACAAACCCACUGGCUUUGGAACAAGCAGAGUAAGACUUUUGCAUCAAUGUAAUACAUAACAUGAAUUACUUGAUGGGAAGUGAAGACACUGAUAGUAUGGGAGCAAUAAAGAGCUGAUCCUACUUCCAUUAACUUUAUUGGGAGCAGACCCAAAAUCUUUAAGUGGAGAUUGGCAUAUCACAUCUAUCUAAUCUAAAGUAUCUCAGGAUUUAUAGUGUGGUAUCAGGACUGAGACAGACAGAUGAAAUAUUACUCCUGCUACAUUUAAUUUAUAAUCUUCAUCUCACUAUCAUUGCACCUACCUACUUAUAUAGUCUCCAUUACUAAAGUAGCUGAGAGACUGCCAAGUAUUUAGACAUAUAAAUAAAAUAGCAGAGAUUGUUUUGUUCUCUGUCUCCCUUUUUCUCUUGCUGUUUAUAAGAUGUCCCCUAAGGUUUGUGUUUGCUUUGUUUAUGGUUCUUAGUGUAAGUGAAUGGAACUGGAAAUCUGAAGGGUUUGUUUUUAAUAAUGUUUAUGGGAAAAUCAGAUACAUAGCAAAAGAAAUGCAUAUUUAUUUCUGUAUAUAUUGGGAUCAGUGGCUAUCAGGGAGAACAGAAGUGAAUGUGAAUUAUGGAGUUUAGAUCCAGGAGCUUUCAGAAUUUCAUUGCAUAAGCUCACAAACUUCCCCUGUUGAUUCACAGUCCAGACUGUACCCGUCAAAUGUCAUGGGCGGUCAUGUUGGUGGAAGGAGAUGUGAUAUCUCAGGAAGCAAAGUGCAAUACCCUGAAGGGCUUUGACUAUCAAGACACUGGGCAAGCCAAAGGAAUUUGUGCUGCUGAGUAAAUGGGAUGCUGUGUUUGGAAGUUUUCAGAGCUUUCAUAGGGCAUGUGGCUCUGUUCCUAUGUGUGAUAAGCAACCAUGGUGAAACUUCAAAGUCAAACAAUGCCUGAGUGUCCUGUCUGUGUCUUACAGGGAUAGUUGUGGACUUUUGGCUGGUCAAUCACAGAUAGAGAGGAUUACCAGGGAUUUAGGAAAGGUGUGCUUCCCCUCUCCAUAAAGGCAUCACUCCACCCCGGAGGGGCCACGCUGCAGCUCCCUGCUCCUCUUAGAGCUGCUCACAGUGAACACAGUGGUGGCUGGUGCUGGAACGAGAUGCGGGACCAAAGUCACCGUAGAAGCACCAACUCUCUGGUUUGGUUACUCAGCCUGGCUCUUGCCACCAUUGGUGCUUGUCACGCACCAGGGUCUGCACGUUGGGAGAGUUUGAGGCUGGUCUAACAGGAAGAACAUCAGACAUUUGAGGAUGUGUCCUUAAGAACUGGACAAUCCUAUGUUUUCUCUUUUCUAUUUCUGACUGCUGCUGAGCUCAUGAAUACCCACCAAUGGAUAAACAGAGAGCCCUGGACCUUUUUCAUAAUUGUUUCUGGAUAUAUCCUUCCUUCAUCUUAUUCUGAACAAAACUUCUUGAAUAGCUCAUUUAAGGAGAAAACACUCGAAAAGUAUAUUAGCAAACUCUUUCAGUGGGGUAAAACCAUCAACAUGGAAAAUUCAACUUUUCAAGAGAGCCAUUAAGUGUGAUUAAACCUUUAAAAAGGGAGAACAAUGAAUGCAGCCUUGUAUUUAGCAAUUUCAUAUCUUUAAUUGUACAAAGAUUUUCUUUAAAAGCACAAGCCUGAAAGGAAGCUGAAUGUUACAGUAUUUACUGAAGGAAAGCAAUGAGAGAAGAGAAGGCCUGUUCACUAGCUAAUGGAGUGAAGCCCAGAAAUAAUGACAAAAAAAGCGAUAACGACCGCUCUCCAACACAACAUAUAUAAAAGAGGGAGCCAUAAAAAGGCAACAAUUCUUGACUUAGCUUUGAGUUUCACAAUGACUGUGAUUACAGAUAGCAAGUGGAAGAGCAUAUAUGCCAUGAUGAAAUCUCAUUGGCUUUGCAAUUGAGAUUCAAGCGAGGAAAGAAAAAAAGCAGGGACAUUGAAUUUCUGCAGAACAAAUUUUGGAUGGGGUAUGAGAAAUGGAAAGAAAGGGAGAAAGAACAAGGUCAUCAAAAAGUUCAGCAGAAAAUGAAUAUAUUCUCAUCCAUUCCAUCUAAUAAUAAACACACUAGGGGCCAGAUCCUCAGAUGAACCGAAUGCCAGUGAUGGAGCUAGCUGGUAGUUCCUGCAUAUGUGAAGAUCAAACAUGUACAUGCAUCCUGGUGUACUUUAGCCUGUGCCAUCUUGCAGCAUCUUUCAUGCACACAGAAACCUUUGACUAAUGGGAACUAGAUUAUACCAAAGAAAUAAAAAACUAAACUCAUUAACUCAUACAAUAAUUAUAUUUAUGAUACAUUUCAUGCUAGCUUAACUGUAAGUGCUACUUUAAAGAGAAAAUAUUUUGACACAUUUUAAUGACACAUUAAUUGCCAGCUUUAUUUUUCUCGAUCAGUUUUUUAAAAGGCAGUGUUAGCAUCUUAUCUUCCAUCACACAUGUACGUGUCUGACUUCAUAUAUGUAAUACUGAGAUUAUAUAUGCUUGUACUUUUUCAUGACAAGUCUAUGUUAUCUCAGUUGAAGUCUUAUGCUCUUUGGAUUUUAACGGGCAUCUUUUAAAGCCUUCCACUAGAUUUCCAAAAUACCUUAGAAGUGCAACUUCUAUUCAGUCAUUGUCUAGAAAACUACAAGAGUGAGGUUUCUUAUACUUCUUCUAGAAAAAUUAGCUUUAAAGGUGCAGAGUGCAGAAGCUAUGUAAAAAGAAUCCCCAAAGUAUUGAAACUACACUCUGACAGAUGGCAGAAGGUGCUGGUGGUCCCAGGCAGAGAGAAUGUAAUGUGACACUGCAAAACAGCAACCUAGCAGGGAGAAUGAUGACUGAGGCUUGAUUCUCUCAAGGAGAAAGGCUGAGCAGAAUCACAUUAGCUCUCUGAGGAGUUUGCCUAAACAAUUUUAUUACAGUUACUCAGAGCAAUACCAGCUGUGAGCUUGUUAUUUAACAUCAUGGUAACUUGCAUGAGCAAUGAAAUAAAAAUGAAUUGGAGAGGAAUGUAGAAGUAAUGUAAAGGUGGCAGCAUGCCUGUAGGCAUAAGAACGAUGAAGAUGGAUACCAUUUUGAAGACUGAAAAAGCUAGUGCGACUGCGAGACAAGCAUAUGAGAAACCUGAACGUCUGACGCCUACCAUGGAGCCAGUGGCUUGCCGAUGACAGCCAUAUGGGAUAUGUCCGAUAAAGUGACCAGAAGCCAUUAUUUCCAUCGGACACAAUGGCAACCGGAAACAUUACCCUCACAAUGCUGAAGAAUGUAAAUGCAUUAUCUCAUGACCUCCAAGGAUGUGAACAGGUCUUGAGCUGCCUGGAGAACAUGCUGUGGCACCCAACAUGGCCACACAGGAGGUCUCUGCCUGCCUCUGCUGUCCCUGAUGCCGAAGGAGGACAGGCUGUGCCGGACAAUUAUGUGAUCGUGACAAAGCCAAGUGACUCCCAGGGAUCAUCCACAAUGAUGAUGAGAGCCGGUGGGGAACACCAUGGAGGAGAAUGAAACAAUUACGAGCGUCUUUUAAAGGAAACUGUGAGAGAGAGGACUCCAGACGCUGCAGUGUGACAGCUAAACCAAGGAGCAUCGGAUGCAAUGGAAUUGCUCUACAAGCAACCUUGCCAAAGGCCCUUUUGCUGCACAAAGCUGGCUCUAUCUUUGUAUAUUGAGGGAACUAAAUCAAUGUUAAAUGCUUGGCUCUUUUCACAGGACAAUGACCAGGACCUAAGCUGCGUCCUUCCUAUUUGAUUGACACUUGAAACGUUGAGUUGGAAUCAGCCAGAGGCACUGCUACAAGCUUGAAGCCUCUGCUGGGGAUAACAACUGGUGACAUCUGCAGAAAGGCCGACAAAAGGCAGUUGAAAGCCGUGUUUGUUGCUUUCCCCUCUCAGAUCUCCUCUCUUUCAUGGAGCUCCUUACUUGCUUUAAUAUUAUGAUUCAGCACCUGGCUCUUUUGAACCUUGCUUUAAACUUCAAAAGGCGAGGUGGUAUUAACAAACAUGAAACGAAAAAGUGGCAGUAGUUUGAUUUACUGUUGUCGUCUUAUCAAGGGGGUUUUUUGUCACCAGCUGCCACUUUCUGUCAUCUUUGGAACCAUUAUCAUUUCUCUAAAAUCUAAAAGACUCCACUUAAUAACAGCUUUGAAUACAGGCAGGAUCAGUAACGUAUACAGUUCUGGGAUGACAGGGCCGUCAAAUGAAAAGAAAGAUGUUGCCAAAAAAAAAAAAAAAAUCCUUAAAGAAAAAAAAGCAAUAAAACAAAUAAAAGCCAUAGUACUUCUAAGUGACCUUGAUUUCAGAAUUAAACAAAUCAAGCACAAUUCCAUUGUUCUUUCUGGAUUAAUUCUGCACUUUCUUUGCAGUGUUUCUUUUUUGUUCUCAGGACUAAGGGAAAACAAAGCCAAGGCUUUCAGAAAACUGCUCGGCACACAACAAGCACUUGGUAUCACAUGAGUGCUGUAAGCUUCUCACUGUAAAACUGCCAGCGAUAAUUACUGGUCUCGUUUCCCCACCAUCCCAGCACAGCAACUCACAUUCAGGCUGAGCUGCCUUGCUAGUCAAAAAAACGGUCAACUCCCCUCUUAUAGUGCUGCUCCAUGCUUUCCUGCAGACCUUCCCAACAUGGUUGUGUUGGUCUUUGGGUGCCAAGGCAGAACCAAGUGCCUGGUCAAGUUUGCCCAUUGCAGCUGCUCACAUUAAGCCACAGGCAGUCAAAUAAACACAAUUUUCUAAAGUGCAAACUUACUGCACUUUCACACUUGUCGCCUUGCCAUUCUUUAUGGGAAACUCACUCUGAUCCCUUUGUUUUAUAAUGGUAUGCACAAUUAACUCAUCUGAAGGUAGAAAUUUCUCCCACUGCCUUCUAAACUCAUGGAUAAAUGAUGGACAAGCCAUCACAAGCAGUGACUUUUAAUUUGCACAAAUUGGAACCUGCACUUCUGUGCAUCUUAAUAGUUACUUCCACUUGUGCAAAAAUAGUGAAACCAACUGCAAAAACCAAAGGAUCCCCUCCACUCUCCCCAUUGAUGUGUCCUCCCUCCCCUCAGUUAUGUGUAAAUCCAGGCAAUGGGAUCCAACACGUGGUCUCCCAUUGGCCUCUUCCAGACCUGUUCAACCACAGGAAUCUGGGGGAGAUUUAUGCCAGAACAUCUUCCUAAAACAGUGAUGGAAACAACAAAAUGAAAAUAUUCAUAGAAGUGAAAGUGCUGAUGUCUUGACCAGUGAAAACACAGGAUUGCAAGACUCCAAAGUUGGUUGAUUUUUUAUGGACUGGGAUGCGACAAAACUCAUGAAAUUGAGAUGGAGAUUGCUAAAAAUACCUAUUAUCCUCUGACAGAAGCACUCACUGUAUAACGAUAAUGAGGUUUUUUCACAGAGCAUGUCCAGAUUUGAAAGUUUAGUCAUUUUAACAAGUGUUAAUUACUGCAUGCUAACCAGCAGAAGUGUGUGGGGGAGAUGUUUUAUAUUUAUUUGUUCCAGACUUGGAACAUAUUAGAAAGCAGGCUCCCUUCCAGGUUACUGUGGUAUGAAUGAAUACGUUACCCAACUACAAAUGAAAAAUACUGCAAGAAGAAAUAAGGACUUUUCCCCAGCAUAUUUCUUUGAAGAGAAGACCGAGAAUAUGUUUAGUCUAUUACAUCAAGUGGAAAUCUUAGCCUG
rnacentral:lncRNA from 1 species